CAGCAGCCACGGGAAUACGGAGGGUGCAAGCGUUAAUCGGAAUUACUGGGCGUAAAGCGUGCGUAGGCGGUUUGUUAAGUCUGCUGUGAAGUCCCCGGGCUCAACCUGGGAAUGGCAGUGGAUACUGGCAAGCUAGAGUGUGUCAGAGGAUGGUGGAAUUCCCGGUGUAGCGGUGAAAUGCGUAGAGAUCGGGAGGAACAUCAGUGGCGAAGGCGGCCAUCUGGGACAACACUGACGCUGAGGCACGAAAGCGUGGGGAGCAAACAGGAUUAGAUACCCGCGUAGUCCCUGUCUCUUAUAC
rnacentral:rRNA from 1 species